AUAAGCAUUAGCACAUCUCAUUACCAUGGAGAAUAUUUGGCCCCGCUCCCUCAGUCAUUGUCUAUCGACUUAGAAACUUUUGCUUAGUUUACAUGUAUUAGUUUGUGAUUAGAUCAGUUUAAGAUGAACUGCUAAUGUUAAGUAAACGAUAUUUGGUAUGCAAAUUUAUUGGCAUUUGCAAAUAUCGUUUCCAUGGAUAUUAUAUAGCCUCACCCCCUCUUCAUGGUAUUGACUUUGAAACUUUUACAUAGUUUAUAAGUUAAUGUUUGUGUUUAGGUUUGUUUAAAGGGAACGACUUAUAAUAAUUCAAUGGUAUUUGGUAUGCAGUUGUAUUAGCUUUGGCACAUCUCAUUUACAUGGAAAUUGUUUAGCCAUGUACCUCAGUCAUGGUUCAUUGACUUUGAAUAUUUGCAUAACUUAUGAAACAUGUUAAAGUAUUGCUAUUUUAAUUUCAACAUUUGCAUAAUCAAAAUUACAAAAGGAUGAGACAUAUUUCUGUGAUAACAGUUUAUCUACAAAUUCUGAUAUGAAGUAACAUAUGUUGAAUUGCAAUAUUCAUAAAUAAAUGAUUGAUCUAUAAAAAAUUUCUGACGGAUUUUUCUUAUUCUUCGCUUAUCUGCCUCAUUAAAUUAUUGUCAUUUGGAUAUUUUUGUAUGGAUAAUGUAAUUAAACAUUUUGCUAUACUCCACAGAAUCCAUAUUGGAUGUUUACACCUUUUAUUUAUUACAUUAUCAAUAUAAUACAUGUUUUUAUAAUGUACUUGAAUUAUAACUUUAAGCUCACUGAUAACAAUGCUCAGUAUAAAAGAUAACUUGUAUAACCAGUGGAACAUAUUUCACAGACAAGGAACUUAUUUCACCAGGUUUGAAGCAACCAGUACAGAAGCAGUCAAAAUGAGAGUAACAUGCUAUAUAACUACAUGUUUCGUCCUGAUAGGAAUAACACUUGUGAACAGAAGCUAUGGUUGUGCUUGCAACGUUGCUUUUUCAGCGUACAUGACCGAAAGCAGUGCAAAUACACAAAGUGCGUCUAUGGCUAAUGGAAACACAAUUGUAUUUAAUAGAAUAGAAGCAAAUACUGGUGGAGGAUACAACACUACCACGGGAAAUUUUACCGCUCCUUCUUCGGGCGUCUACGGCUUUUCAUGGACCUUCUGUGUCGAUUCUCGUACCAAUGAUGGCGGCCACCCUUUGUUUUACGGAGAAUACGGCACAGAAUUAAUGAGGGGAACGUCUGUGAUUGGCGUACUGCAUACAGAUACGGAAACAAAGUACAAUGACGCAUGCUCAACAGGCUUCGUCAUUAAAUACAUACCUGAAGGCUGGGAAGUUUACGUCAGGAAUAAUUACGCUCACCAAGGAAAAAUCCUGAGCAAGGAGAGUCAGACCAGAACAACAUUCUCUGGAUGGAAAAUAAAUAGUUGAAACGUUUGUUGAGCAUUGUUGAUCGGAUAUGAUUGACAUUCUGACAUCGCAGUACAUGUCUUCAUUUUUAUCAUUAAAAUAUUUUUAAUUUAAA